rnacentral:rRNA from 1 species
ACUCCUGCGGGAGGCAGCAGUGGGGAAUAUUGGACAAUGGGCGCAAGCCUGAUCCAGCCAUGCCGCGUGAGUGAUGAAGGCCCUAGGGUUGUAAAGCUCUUUCACCGGAGAAGAUAAUGACGGUAUCCGGAGAAGAAGCCCCGGCUAACUUCGUGCCAGCAGCCGCGGUAAUACGAAGGGGGCUAGCGUUGUUCGGAAUUACUGGGCGUAAAGCGCACGUAGGCGGAUCGAUCAGUCAGGGGUGAAAUCCCAGGGCUCAACCCUGGAACUGCCUUUGAUACUGUCGAUCUGGAGUAUGGAAGAGGUGAGUUGAAUUCCGAGUGUAGAGGUGAAAUUCGUAGAUAUUCGGAGGAACACCAGUGGCGAAGGCGGCUCACUGGUCCAUUACUGACGCUGAGGUGCGAAAGCGUGGGGAGCAAACAGGAUUAGAAACCCUUGUAGUCCCAUGAU